rnacentral:lncRNA from 1 species
UCAAAGCACAGAUCGUAUCUUGAGCAAGGCCCUAAAGCAUAAACAUACCAGAAUGACAAAAAGACGUGGCUCCACCAUAUUUGAUGUGCUCCGCAACGACAAAGAUCGAGUCAAUGAGGGAAGACAAGCAGGCAUUUAUAGCAUUCCAUUAUAUAACGUAGAGGAAGAUAUUAUGCAAUAUUGUAUGGGCAGCACAGGGAGGGGCCUGAACAGGAGGAUGGGGGAGCAUGUGUCUGGCAUGAAGGAGGGUGGGAUGGAUACUGCACUGAGUGUGGGGGCCUACGAAGGGGACAUCGACGUCAAGUGGAGCCGGGCAUG